rnacentral:rRNA from 1 species
CCUACGGGGGGCAGCAGUAGGGAAUAUUGCUCAAUGGGGGAAACCCUGAAGCAGCAACGCCGCGUGGAGGAUGAAGGUUUUCGGAUUGUAAACCUCUUUUGUUAGAGAAGAUAAUGACGGUAUCUAACGAAUAAGCACCGGCUAACUCCGUGCCAGCAGCCGCGGUACUACGGAGGGUGCAAGCGUUACUCGGAAUGACUGGGCGUAAAGAGCGCGUAGGCGGGCUAGCAAGUCUGAUGUGAAAUCCUAUGGCUUAACCAUAGAACUGCAUUUGAAACUGUUGUGCUAGAGUAUGGGGGAGGUAGGUGGAAUUCUUGGUGUAGGGGUAAAAUCCGUAGAUAUCAAGAGGAAUACUGAUUGCGAAGGCGACCUACUGUAGCAUUACUGACGCUCAGGCACGAAAGCGUGGGGAGCGAACAGGAUUAGAUACCCGUGUAGUC